GAGCCCUCGGAGCUGCCGGCGGGCUGCCUGCCCCGGGGUGCUCUCCCCGGCGAGCAGCGGCCCUGCCCUCCGCCCGUGGGGGAGAGGGAGGGAGCGGUGCCGCCGCGGGAUGGGAAAUUCCCCACGCUCAGACCCCUCUCAGCUACUCGGGCCAGCAAACAAAGGGAUGACGGAGGGAAAACGAGCAGAAGGAGCCCUUUAACCCGCGAAAGACGGCGAGGCGAGGCCGGGGCUCGGCGCCGUUGCCCGAGAAGGCCGCGUUCCGCACCGCGCCUCGCGCGCGGAAGAACGCCCCGCGGGCCCCCGAGCUCCGGACCCCCGGAAGCGCGGCGAGCGGCCCCGCCGCCCGCUCCGAGGCGACCCGCCGCCGCUCUCCCUCCGUCCGCCCCCGGGCGCUGCCGCGGGGGCCCGUCCGGAGCUGCCUCCCGCCCCCGGAGCCGGCGCCGGGCGGGCGGCGCGGCCUGCACAGGCGCCGCUCCCGGCCGAGGCUCCCUGGCAGCGUCCGCGAGGCCGCCGCCGCCGUCCUCCGCGCUCGCUUCCCCCGGCGCCCCCCACGGCCGGAGGAGAGCCAAGGCCGCGCUCCGCUCCCCGCCGGCUCGGCACGGGCUCCCCCCGCAGGGGCCAGCGAGAGCGGCUCGACGUCGGCCGGCCGCCCCGGCCCGCGCCGCUCCGUCCCUCCUUUCGCGGAAAGCGGCCCCGCGCCCCUCAUCCAGCCCCCCUCGCCCCCCGCACGCCCGAUCCGCGUCCGGGCGCCGCGCAACUCCGGUCCGGCGCGUGGGAAAGAGAAACCGCGGCGGGCCGCCUCCUACCUGCGCGCGUCCGGCUCGGCCGGCCAGGCCUUCCCCGGCCCGAGCCUGCGUGCGCCGCGCGGGGCGCUUCGUGCCGCAGCCCGCGGUCGGGAGCUGCUCCCGCGGCCGCGGCGGGGCCUGGGCCGCCGCUCACUGCCGCCGGCUCCCGGCAGCCCGGCGCGGAACGCUCUCCCGCCGCCCUCGGCGGCUCCGAACAAUGGGCCCCGAAGCGGGCAGGGAGAGGCGCGGAGAGAAGCAGGGUGGGCGCUGCGCUGCGCCGCUCCGCUCCGCCGCCGCUCAAGUCCUGCCGACCGCCGCCAUCACGCCGCUCAGCCUCCCCCUCCCGCGGUCGGAUGGAAACCCCGGGCGUGAUGUCAGCCCUGCGCCCUGGGACCGAGCGGGAGGAGGAGGAGGAGGAGGAGGAGGAGGAAGGCGGGGAGGAGGAGCCACGGCCGGGCCGCGCGGAGGGUGGCGGGGCCGGGCGAGCCGCCUCCUCACGGCGCAGGGCCCGGGGCAGCGCCUCCCCUGCAGGCGGGCGGCGCGGGGGGCCGGGCCGGUUGGAGGGCGCUGGGCGCGGCCUGGCCCGGUGCGGCGCCAUGAAUCGAGCGGGCCGCGCUGCGCCUCGUGUUAG
rnacentral:lncRNA from 1 species